GGAAGGAUGACCGAGUGGUUUAAGGUGACGGUCUUGAAAACCGUUGUAGGGAAACCUACCGUGGGUUCGAAUCCCACUCCUUCCG
rnacentral:tRNA from 1 species